rnacentral:rRNA from 1 species
GACGAACGCUGGCGGCGUGCUUAACACAUGCAAGUCGAACGGAAAGGCCCCCUUGUGGGGUACUCGAGUGGCGAACGGGUGAGUAACACGUGAGUAACCUACCCUUGACUUUGGGAUAACUUCAGGAAACUGGGGCUAAUACCGGAUAGGAGCUCCUGCUGCAUGGUGGGGGUUGGAAAGUUUCGGCGGUUGGGGAUGGACUCGCGGCUUAUCAGCUUGUUGGUAGGGUAGUGGCUCACCAAGGCUUUGACGGGUAGCCGGCCUGAGAGGGUGACCGGCCACAUUGGGACUGAGAUACGGCCCAGACUCCUACGGGAGGCAGCAGUGGGGAAUAUUGCACAAUGGGCGGAAGCCUGAUGCAGCAACGCCGCGUGCGGGAUGACGGCCUUCGGGUUGUAAACCGCUUUCGCCUGUGACGAAGCGUGAGUGACGGUAAUGGGUAAAGAAGCACCGGCUAACUACGUG